rnacentral:rRNA from 1 species
UACGUAGGGGGCAAGCGUUGUCCGGAUUUAUUGGGCGUAAAGAGCGUGUAGGCGGCCAAGCAGGUCAGCUGUGAAAACUCGAGGCUCAACCUCGAGACGUCGGUUGAAACCGUUUGGCUAGAGUCCGGAAGAGGAGAGUGGAAUUCCCGGUGUAGCGGUGAAAUGCGCAGAUAUCGGGAAGAACACCCGUGGCGAAGGCGGCUCUCUGGACCGUAACUGACGCUGAGGCGCGAAAGCGUGGGAGCAAACAGG